GAUGAACGCUGGCGGCGUGCCUAAUACAUGCAAGUCGAGCGAACGGACGAGAAGCUUGCUUCUCUGAUGUUAGCGGCGGACGGGUGAGUAACACGUGGAUAACCUACCUAUAAGACUGGGAUAACUUCGGGAAACCGUAGCUAAUACCGGAUAAUAUUUUGAACCGCAUGGGUCAAAAGUGAAAGACGGUCUUGCUGUCACUUAUAGAUGGAUCCGCGCUGCAUUAGCUAGUUGGUAAGGUAACGGCUUACCAAGGCAACGAUGCAUAGCCGACCUGAGAGGGUGAUCGGCCACACUGGAACUGAGACACGGUCCAGACUCCUACGGGAGGCAGCAGUAGGGAAUCUUCCGCAAUGGGCGAAAGCCUGACGGAGCAACGCCGCGUGAGUGAUGAAGGUCUUCGGAUCGUAAAACUCUGUUAUUAGGGAAGAACAUAUGUGUAAGUAACUGUGCACAUCUUGACGGUACCUAAUCAGAAAGCCACGGCUAACUACGUG
rnacentral:rRNA from 1 species